AAAAACCAAAUUGUUCGGUUUUCGUGUCCAACGUUUGACCGUCCGUCUUAUAUGAAAUUUUUUUAUGAUUAGUAUUUUUAUUAUUGUUAGAUGAUAAAACCUGAAUAAUAUUUUAUGCAUGACUUAUCUUUUUAUAUUUUUUUAUAUUUUUUUCAAAUAAGACGAAUGGUCAAACGUUAAACACGAAAACCCAGGAAUUGAGUUUUU
rfam:Oryza glaberrima chromosome 6 Oglab06_0073_11, whole genome shotgun sequence.